rnacentral:rRNA from 1 species
AAACCAACAGGGAUUGCCUCAGUAACGGCGAGUGAAGCGGCAAAAGCUCAAAUUUGAAAUCUAGCACCUUCGGUGUUCGAGUUGUAAUUUGAAGAUGGUAACCUUGGGUUUGGCUCUUGUCUAUGUUUCUUGGAACAGGACGUCAUAGAGGGUGAGAAUCCCGUCUGAUGAGAUGCCCAUUCCUAUGUAAGGUGCUAUCGAAGAGUCGAGUUGUUUGGGAAUGCAGCUCUAAGUGGGUGGUAAAUUCCAUCUAAAGCUAAAUAUUGGCGAGAGACCGAUAGCGAACAAGUACAGUGAUGGAAAGAUGAAAAGAACUUUGAAAAGAGAGUGAAAAAGUACGUGAAAUUGUUGAAAGGGAAGGGCAUUAGAUCAGACUUGGUGUUUUACGAUUAUCUUCUCUUCUUGAGUUGUGCACUCGUAUUUCACUGGGCCAGCAUCGAUUCGGAUGGCAAGAUAAUGGCAGUUGAAUGUGGCUUCACUUCGGUGGAGUGUUAUAGCUUCUGCUGAUAUUGCCUGUCUGGAUCGAGGGCUGCGUCUUUUGACUAGGAUGCUGGCGUAAUGAUCUAAUGCCGC